UACGUAGGGGGCAGGCGUUGUCCGGAUUUAUUGGGCGUAAAGAGCGUGUAGGCGGCCAGGUAGGUCAGCUGUGAAAACUCGAGGCUCAACCUCGAGACGUCGGUUGAAACCACCUGGCUAGAGUCCGGAAGAGGAGAGUGGAAUUCCUGGUGUAGCGGUGAAAUGCGCAGAUAUCAGGAGGAACACCGGUGGCGAAGGCGGUGGUCUGGGCCGGCACUGACGCUGAGGCGCGAAAGCUAGGGGAGCAAACGGG
rnacentral:rRNA from 1 species